CCUACGGGAGGCAGCAGUGGGGGAUAUUGCACAAUGGGGGGAACCCUGAUGCAGCGACGCCGCGUGGGUGAAGAAGCGCCUCGGCGCGUAAAGCCCUGUCAGCAGGGAAGAAAAUGACGGUACCUGAAGAAGAAGCCCCGGCUAACUACGUGCCAGCAGCCGCGGUAAUACGUAGGGGGCAAGCGUUAUCCGGAUAGACUGGGUGGAAAGGGGGCGCAGACGGCGAUGCAAGCCAGGAAAGAAAGCCCGGGGCCCAAGCCCGGGACUGCUCUUGGAACUGCGUGGCUGGAGUGCAGGAGGGGCAGGCGGAAUUCCUGGUGUAGCGGUGAAAUGCGUAGAUAUCAGGAGGAACACCGGUGGCGGAGGCGGCCUGCUGGACUGCAACUGACGUUGAGGCCCGAAAGCGUGGGGAGCAAACAGGAUUAGAUACCCGUGUAGUC
rnacentral:rRNA from 1 species